AUACGGAGGAUCCGAGCGUUAUCCGGAUUUAUUGGGUUUAAAGGGUGCGCAGGCGGCCAUUUAAGUCAGCGGUUAAAUCGUGGGGCUCAACCCCAUUCUGCCGUUGAUACUGGUUGGCUUGAUUGCGGUCGAGGUUGGCGGAAUUCGUUGUGUAGCGGUGAAAUGCAUAGAUAUGACGAAGAACACCGAUUGCGUAGGCAGCUGACCAGACCGCAAAUGACGCUCAUGCACGAAAGUGCGGGGAUCGAACAGGAUUAGAUACCCUGGUAGUCCGCACAGUAAACGAUGAAUACUUGUUUUCGGCGAUAUAAUGUCGGAGGCAAAGCGAAAGCGAUAAGUAUUCCACCUGGGGAGUACGCCGGCAACGGUGAAACUCAAAGGAAUUGACGGGG
rnacentral:rRNA from 1 species